rnacentral:rRNA from 1 species
UAGGGAAUCUUCCGCAAUGGGCGAAAGCCUGCCGGAGCAACGCCGCGUGAGUGAUGAAGGUCUUCGGAUCGUAAAACUCUGUUAUUAGGGAAGAACAAAUGUGUAAGUAACUAUGCACGUCUUGACGGUACCUAAUCAGAAAGCCACGGCUAACUACGUGCCAGCAGCCGCGGUAAUACGUAGGUGGCAAGCGUUAUCCGGAAUUAUUGGGCGUAAAGCGCGCGUAGGCGGUUUUUUAAGUCUGAUGUGAAAGCCCACGGCUCAACCGUGGAGGGUCAUUGGAAACUGGAAAACUUGAGUGCAGAAGAGGAAAGUGAAAUUCCAUGUGUAGCGGUAAAAUGCGCAGAGAUAUGGAGGAACACCAGUGGCGAAGGCGACUUUCUGGUCUGUAACUGACGCUGAUGUGCGAAAGCGUGGGGAUCAAACAGG